GAUGAACGCUAGCUACAGGCUUAACACAUGCAAGUCGAGGGGAAACGAUAUUGGAAGCUUGCUUCCGAUAGGCGUCGACCGGCGCACGGGUGAGUAACGCGUAUCCAACCUGCCCAUCACUUGGGGAUAACCUUGCGAAAGUAAGACUAAUACCCAAUGACGUCUCUAGAAGACAUCUGAAAGAGAUUAAAGAUUUAUCGGUGAUGGAUGGGGAUGCGUCUGAUUAGCUUGUUGGCGGGGUAACGGCCCACCAAGGCGACGAUCAGUAGGGGUUCUGAGAGGAAGGUCCCCCACAUUGGAACUGAGACACGGUCCAAACUCCUACGGGAGGCAGCAGUGAGGAAUAUUGGUCAAUGGACGAGAGUCUGAACUAGCCAAGUAGCGUGCAGGAAGACGGCCCUAUGGGUUGUAAACUGCUUUUAUAAGGGAAUAAAGUGGGAGUCGUGACUCUUUUUGCAUGUACCUUAUGAAUAAGGACCGGCUAAUUCCGUGCCAGCAGCCGACGG
rnacentral:rRNA from 1 species